CAAACGGCCCUUUUCAGGGCCACCAAUCAGUUAAAGAACCAGGAAUU
rfam:Daphnia magna strain Xinb3 scaffold00211, whole genome shotgun sequence.